rnacentral:misc_RNA from 1 species
UCGAGGGGGCUUGCCCCCGUCAAGAUACCACCCUUUGCCUUUGAGUACCUUCUGUUUCCUCGGCAGGCUCGCCUGCCAAUGGGGACCACAACCAAACCUUUUUGUAUCUGUAGUAAACGUUUUACAAAAUAAAAAAUCAAAACUUUCAACAACGGAUCUCUUGGUUCUGGCAUCGAUGAAGAACGCAGCGAAAUGCGAUAAGUAGUGUGAAUUGCAGAAUUCAGUGAAUCAUCGAAUCUUUGAACGCACAUUGCGCCCUUUGGUAUUCCUUAGGGCAUGCCUGUUCGAGCGUCAUCUAACCCUUCAAGCACUGCUUGGUGUUGGGCGUUUGUCCCGCCUUGGGCGCGGACUCGCCUCAAAGACAUUGGCGGCCUGUGUAUUGGCUUCGAGCGCAGCAGACUCGCGCGUCGACUCCUCUAGCACUAGGCGUCCAGCAAGCCUAUUAUCUCAAGUU